CUUUUUAUGAGCCAUAAAGUGGCGUCGGCCUGCACAGGGGUGUGCCGUGUGCACCUCAGCCAGGGUAAGAUCCACGGAGGGGGAAUGAUCAGUGUGAUUGAUCCCCCACCCCACGCAGGACUCCCGGUACCUACUGCAGCCCAGCACACAGCAGCUUGUGCUGGGCAGAGAAAAGAAGCUACUCCAGGUAAGGAGGGAAGGUGGUGCGGACCCAGGCCCCAGCCCGGCCCCCUGCACGAAGCCCAGGCAACAACAAUAAUACAGACUUUAAGACACAGUUCUACAGUAUGGCAUAUUUAAACCUGAUGGUUUCAAAUAGCAAAAUAUGGAAAAUGGUACAUCUAUAGCAAUCGGUUACAGUCGUCAGCUUUACAAAUGACGCCCAUAGAUCACACAGACUCACUGGUAAAUGGAGAGACUCCUGAUUGGAAAAUUCACACAAAGCAAAGAAUACUGACAUCGUGAGUCAUCUGGAUAAAGAACUGUCUUCCCUGGGAUGUUCCGUACAUAUCUGAUCCUCUCCUUUCCAAUUGCGGGGCUGUCUGUGAUUGUCUCAUGUGGCCCUCCUCCUUUUUACAUCCAAGUCUACGCAUUUACAGCCAUAUACAUUAAUCAGAUUUUAGUUUCUAUUUGUG